GCGUCCCAUUAGCUUGUUGGUGAGGUAACGGCUCACCAAGGCCGCGAUGGGUAGCUGGUCUGAGAGGAUGAUCAGCCACACUGGGACUGGAACACGGCCCAGACUCCUACGGGAGGCAGCAGUGAGGAAUCUUGCGCAAUGGGGGAAACCCUGACGCAGCCACGCCGCGUGGGUGAAGAAGGUCUUCGGGUCGUAAAGCCCUGUCAGGUGGGAAGAACCGCAGUCGGGUGAAUAAUCUGGCUCCCUCCACGCUACCACCAAAGGAAGC
rnacentral:rRNA from 1 species